rnacentral:lncRNA from 1 species
CAGUGAUAGAAUGCUACCCUAGCAUGCAUGAGGCCCUGGAUUUAAUUCCAAGCACCAUGAAAAAAAUAAUAAAAAUGUUAAUUUAAAAGGCUCUACAUAAAUUUAUGAAAGAAACAUCUUUGGUGUGCCCAUGGGAAAGUCUCAGUAAUAAAAAUGGCUUGUAUUUGCUGGGUACCUCCUCUGUGGAGCUGCGGUGUUAAGCAUUUCACAUAGAAUAACUUGUCCAAUACUUACUACUACCUUUUGAAUUCACUGCUUUUAUCAUCCCCAUUUGAAAGGUGAGGACGUGAGGCUCCAAGAGCUCAGUAACUUGCCCAAGAUGGCGCAGCUGUGCUUCCAGCCCUUCCUGCCUGAGCACACAGCCUCUGCACUGCACUGUCUCUGAAUAUUUCCAUCAUGCUGAGAAUAGCAUCUCUUUCAUCACCUUGUUCCUUGACACCAUUGUCUGUCCCAGCUUUCCCGUGGGUGGCCCGUGUGCUACAGUGCUGUCUCUUCUUGGUCUAGGGAAGUUCUUUAGAGCUGAAAGAGUCUCCCCUGCUGCAUGACAAACGUAGCUCACCCCACAAACCUUCCUAUCUAUCUAUGCCAAAGACAGGGAUAAUCUUCCACUUUUCAGACCAAAGAAGGAUCAAAACCCAGCUAAGAGGAUUUUGAUGUAUUCACUUAUAAUUUGAUGUUAAGUCAGGACUCUGUAAACACAAUUCUUUCCCAUGUGAAAUAUUUUUAGACAACAGAAAUUUUAGGUAAUCCAGUAAAGGAAUACACUAUACAUGCGUUCAAAACAGAAUAUUAAGCAUGUUAAAAGAAAGAUUAUUGUAUUGAUUUGAUGAGUAUUGAAAAGCAACAUGAGAUAAUAAAUCCAAGGUCUUAAAGUGUAACUCCAAAAACAGGCUACUCUAUAGACCUAAAUGUGAGAGAUAAACAUUAACACAUUUAAAAGAAAACAUAGAAGUAAAUUAUGUGACCUUGAGUUAAAAAAUUAUUUCUCAGAUAUAACAAUAAUGCAACAAAAGAAAAAAUAAAUGUAUUGGAGUUAAUCGCAAAGGCUUUCAAUGCUUGAAAGAACAUCAUCAAGUGAGAAGACAACCCACAAAAUGGAGAAAAUAUUUGUAAAUAAUAUACCUGGUAAGGAUUGAGAAUUCAAAAUACACAAAGAACUCUUAACCAACAACUCAUUAAUAAAGAGACAAAUAGCACAACUUAAAAAUGGCAAAGGAGCUGAGUAGAAAUUUGCACAAAGAUGUGCAAAUGUCCAAUAAGUAUUUGAAAAGACACUUAACAUCUUUAGUCAUUAGGGAAAUGCAAAUCAAAGCAACAAUAAGACACUUCAUAAUCACUAGAACAUCAAUAAUCAAAAAGACAAUAGUGAGAAUAUGGAGAAUUGGAACCCUCAAAUGUUGCUUGUGGGAAUGAUAAAUGUAUAUGUAGGUGUGGGCUGAGGAUAUAUCUCUGUUAGUAUAGAGUUCACCUAGCAUGUGGGAAACCCUGGACCCACAAAAAAACUAACAACAGCCAAAAAAAAAAAAAACUGAUAUAUCCAUAUGAUGAGAAAAUUAUUUAUCCAUUAAAAAGAAUGAAAUAUUCCUGUAUGCUAUUUGGUUGAAUCCUUAACACAUUAUGCUAAGUGAAAGAAGACAAUCACAAAAGGCUACACAUUUAUGAUUCCUGUUUAUAUUAAAUGUCCAGAAUAGGCAAAUCCAUAGACAUUGAAAGUAGAGUACUGGUUGCCAGGGCCUGGGAAAGAGGAAUGGGAGUGACUGCUAAUAGACAUGGGGUUUUCUUUGGGGGUUGAUAAAAAUUAUGUUAUAAAAUUUAUUGUGGUGAUGUUUUCAAAACUCUUAUAUGACUACUAAAAGCUAUUGAAUAGUACAAUUUAAAUGAGUGAAUUAUUUGAUGUAUGAAUUAUAUUUCAAUAAAACUGUUAAAAAUAUAGGGUUAGGAAUGUAGCUCAGUGGUAGAGCACUUGUCUAGCAUUCACAGGGCCUUUUGUUCAAACGCCAGCAUGGUGGGGGGAGUGGUGAGAGCAGGGGCAAGCUGGGUCAAGAGUAUAUACCUGUAGUCCUAGCUACUCAGAGGCUAAGGCAAGAAAAUUGCUUGAACCCAGAAGUUCAAGGCCAGAUUGGCAACAUCAAGAGACCUGCCUUGAAAGAAAAACAAACAAACAAAAAAAACUACUUUUACUUGUUUACCUAUUCAUAAA